rnacentral:lncRNA from 1 species
UACCCUGGGGGACCACAGCAUGCUAAAAAGUCAAGAACAAAGUGGACAGCCCAAUCCGGCACUUUCUACACGACCAACACUGAUAGAAAACCAGGGCUGUGUCAUUCGGCUAGAGCCGAACCAGAGGUGUGUCUCUCUAUUUGGAUAGUUCUUCCUUCUGAAAUCCAAAAGUUGGGAUGUGGUAAACUUCUCAGAUCCUGCUUCUCAAUAUGGUAUUUUACAUGUGUUCUCUAAAAAUACUUUUUCACCUUCUCAGCUUAUAUCAGAGCAAUUUAGCACCAUUUGAUUAGAACGCCCAGCCCUUCUUUGUAGCCAGCCUGGACUGUCCUCCCCGUCUGGAGUCAUUUUGGCUGCAAAGUGAGGUCUCAGCGGGGUCAGCUGGGUGUCCAGACGUCAGGUAUCAGGCGUGUGGUGAGCGCCUCCAAGGCCACUUUCCUCUCAGCAAUGCCCACUAGGUGACGCCUGUGAAUGGAGUAGCUUUCCAGAGAGCAGGCUUCCUCUCUUCCUUCCUUCCCAGGCCCACAUCUUGCCUCGAAGAUGCUUAAGUGGCAGGAUCCUGAAGAAAUUAUUCUCUGCCUGUUGCUUAGAGAGAGGGCACGUGAGGAUCUCAGGCAGCCAGAAUACUCUUGCGACCAGAAUACUGACAUUUCUGCUUAGUGUGUGCGAUGGUCUAAUUAUAAAAGUGGGAAAAAGCCAAAAACUGUAUAACCUGAAGAGUUUUAGAUUUCUGGGUAGGUUCAUAACUGCUUUCCAAAUGCAAACAAAAUUGCCUGAACUAAGGUGGCUUCUGAUCGUCCUGGGGUGGUAAUCUGAAUACGUGAGCAUUCUGGAAGGAGAUUGGAGACAGGUGUGACUGGAGGCAGGUGUGAUUCUUUUGAGUAUAACAGCGGUUCCCAGACUGGAGUGUGCGUCAGAAUCAACUGCAGGUAUUAUGAAACCACAGAUUUCUGGGUCCCACUCCCAGAGUUCCUGAUUUGGAAAGUCUUGGAUGAGGUCUGAGAAUCUGCAUUUCUUACAAGUUCCCAGGUGAUGCUAAUGCGGCUGGUCUGGGGACCUCACCUAGAGAACCUCUGCAGGACAGCGUUCUGUUAACAAUAAGUUUCCAAUGCGCCACCACCCACCGGAAAAAGAGCACACAGUGACUGACAAGGUACAUAUUUUGCUGGCUCUUCGUGGAGGCGAGACUAGGAAGACCGUGAAUGAAAGUAUCAAAUAUUCUAAAGCACAUGUGGAUUAAGUUGGUGAAAGACGAAUUUUAUCUCCUUCAUGAGUUAAUGUCUUCUUUGAAAAAAAUUAGAAACUUUACCAGGAGGUUUUUGAAUGCCUCAAAGUCUACAGACACGUGGUCAAAAUGAUAAAAGACAUGUUUUCUUAUCUGAACGCAGUGACAUCUUAAAAGGUUUCCUUUGUUGUAUUUAAACUUGCAUGUCAAAAAAUUAUUCUCUGCAUACA